GACAGAAUUCUGGAGCCCUGGAGCCUGCGACUCUGUCAUGUUCCUGCCGGGAGCUCAGGGGUCUGAGGAGCCAAGGAGGCUGUCCCUAGGCACGUGCAAAUCCAGAGGCAUCGUCCAGACGCUGGCCACCCCAGUCCACCUGGCAUCUUAGCUCCCCCUGGGUACUAACUACCCUACUAUCUCCUGUCUCUCCUCGCCCCGCCCCACCACCCGGGGAACUGGGACUUAUCAAGACAAAGAACAAAAGUCGUGGGGGAAAGAAGCCAAGAGCCAUCUCCACUCUGGGGUAGGGCCCUCCAGUUUCGCCCCUUUGAAAUUUCAAAUUCCAGUUUGUGGACAAAGUCCUAACUUUCUCACAAUAUAGGUCCCCAACCACUGACCAAACUCCAGUCCAGGCAGCCAGCAGGCCCGGGGCUGGUCCGGCCUUGCUGUCUUUCCCCUGGCAGUUCUCAAGUCCAGGGGGAGGGGUCCUGGGCCAACUGGGGUCUGCCAGGCCACCCCCGCAGCCCUACUCCACCCCACCCCACAGAGACCCCUGCCUCCCAUCUGAGAGGACAGCUCUCUUCCCGGAGCUGGGAUCUGACGCUUGCUGGUGCCAACAGCAGAUACCAGGCGCAUGACCGGAUUACUCUUUCUUGCUUCCUUUGAAGUUAGACGUGACCAUGUGACUUGUUCUGGCCAAUGAAAUGAGAGCAGAAACAACUGGUGCGUCACACCCGGGCAGAAGCUUGAAGGGCCCGCGCUGGGGCUGUUUCAGAAGCACGUAGGGAUAUGGAGUCAUCAGGGUGGGGAGUGCACCCCACCAGCCCCUGACGGACAAGUACUGCCCACCCUCAUGCAAGAGGAGUGUGAGUCAAAAAGAAAGGGAAGGCAUAGUUCCUGCACGUAAGCAUCUCAGAAUCUUUCAUGAAACAAUCAGAGAAGUCCCAAAAUACUUGCAGAGAAGAAUGGACUGAGCUGCAGUCAAGUGUCCUCAGUAGAGGUUUGUUGAAAAAGUGAAUAAGUGAACAGUGACAGUGAAUGCAGGAGCCUCCUGCGUAAAGACCGGACCCAUUCUGGGUACCCAUAUCCUCCCUUUAUAAAAUGGCACAAAAUAAGACAAUGGUUUUCUAUGCUGGAUCCCAAAUCACAUAAGGACUUAAUAAAAAAUUAAAGAUUCUUGGAACUCAUCCCAGGAGAUCCUGAUUCACCAGGUCUGGGGUGGGGCCCCAAAAUAUGUCAUUGAUAAGGAGGUUUUCUAUAUGCAGUCAGGUUUGUGAACCAGUGAACCAUAGAGGCUGAAAUUAAGUUGAGGUGAAAUGGGAAAAGAUGUGGAGAGGUGAGAAAAGGGAAAACGGUGGGGGAGACUCUACAUAGGGAAACCGCCAUGCCUGACAUCCGACACAGUCCUACAGUUGGCCAGCCUCUGGCAUCCUACCCAACUUUGGGCCCAUCAGCCCUUCAAGGAAAUGAAGCAUCUUCUAGUUUAUGAUACUUUUCUCCUUCCUUACCUCAUCGAAUCCUUACAAAAACCAACUUUCUUUGAUGGAGGAAGAAAUUCAGAAUCAGAUGGCGAAGCAAAGUGUCAACCACUUACACAGUUUUCGGUGGGAGUGCCAUUUAACCAAACUGCCCCUGACAACAGCCUCUGAUCUGGCCUGAGGCUCAUGUCAUUGGCCUAAUUGAUGUUUGUCGACCAGUGGCCAAAGCACCCAGUCUCCUUACUUGUUCUGUCCUCAGCACUUGCAGAUUCUGCUAGCCCAGCCCAGCCCAGCCCAGGCUAUAUCAUCCAUCCAAACACCAAUCCAUCUGUGCCUCCACCCACACACCCAGCUAACCAAUUGCUUAUUCAUCCACUUAUCACAUUCAUCUACAUAUCUCUUCACCGUCCUAUCCAUCUACUUACCCAUUUAUCCAUCAUCCACCAUACCCACCCAUCCACUCACCCACCCAGACAUCCAUUCAUUCAUCCAUCCAUUUUCUGAUUCAUUCAUUCAUUCAUUCAUUCAUUCAUUCAAUAAACCUCCCUCAAAGUCAAUAUAGGUCCAGGUCCUAGAGUUUCCUAGAAUAAAACAACAAAGAUCAUACAAAUACAGACCUUGCCCUCAAGGAGAUUUGAAAUGCUUACAAAAAUGACAAACUACCAAAGGACCAAGACAGAUAAUUAAGGGAAGCUAAGGGGAACUUGUGAAAAGAAAAAGAAUAGGAAAGGGUAAGAAAAGAAUGAAGCCAGAAGUCUGGGUAGCAUACAGAUAAGCACACAAUAGCAUCUUAUCCUCAUAAUUGCUAAGGGCAGCUCCAGAUUUGCCUCUGAGCUAGACCCUGGCACCCGAAGCAAAAAACCACAGCAGAAAAGUCACAGGGAUAUUCAGUUGUGGCAGACAUCAUGCAGAAGCUAUCCCUGCUUCCUUAUACCACAGUAGUGUUAUAUGUGUCCAGGGCACAUCGAGAAACAUCUGGAGACAUAUUUGGUUGGCACAGCUGAUGGGGGAAGAAUGCUCCUGGCAUCUGAUGAGUCAAAGUCUGGAAAGCUGCUAAAUAUCCUACAAUGCACAGGACAGCAGCCACAAUAAAGAAUCAUCUGAGCCAAAAUGUCAAUAGUGCUGAAGCUGAGAGACCCUCUUAUGAGAGAACCCCAAUUUUGUUUGGAAUAGCAUCGUGCUAGACCUCAAGAAAACAGUAUCGUUGGUUGAAGCCAGUCUUGGCUUUCCCAUUUCUUUCCACUAGACCCUUGAAUUCCCAGCUUUCUUUGAACCAGGGAAGUCUGCUGGGAGGUUUCUGGGGAAAUUUUGCUUUUUGAUCAAAGAAACAAGUACUUCAAGGAAUAUCCCCUCCAGCUUCAGGUGCUUGAGGGCAGACGUGAUGCCCCGCACCAUGCCAGCCACGUUGGGUCUGCACGGUGAGCAUGGAGAGACAGGAAGGUAGAGCAUGGGUCUGGCUGACAUUGUUGACCGUUGUCAUACAGUUGUUUCUUAAAACCUCCCUCAGUUCAUGCAUCCAACAGAUGCUUACUGAGCAUUUAUUCUGUGCCAGUUGCUGUGUGAGACGUGCAAGGCUCGCAGAGUUUAUAGUCGAGUGGGGGAUACAGAGGCCACAACGCACACCAAUGCUGUCUGAUCAGAGUCAUGAUGAGAGCUACAAACCAGAAGCCAGUGUGCCAUGAGUGUGUUGCAAGUCCAGGGGAAGGUCAAGUUCACCCAGCAUCACCCCACCAAAGAUCAGCUCCCUAAAGACUGUCCUCCUGGGGUUCAAAGAUGUGAGACGGCAGCUGACAUUUACUGCAUGGUUGCCUUGUGUCAGGCACGACGCUGAGCACUUGUGUAUUAACUCACGUGUGUUAACUCACGUUAUCCUCUCCACAGCCUUGCCUGCCAUUGCCCCUCCUGAGGCUCUGCUGUGGACCUCGUCCCUUCCCCUACAGCUUACCUCUGCAGUUGCAGCCUUUGGUGGGGGGGUUAGUAUUAUCCUGAUUACAGAGCCUAGGAAAAGGGGUUCUCCUCAAAACACUCAUUUCUUUUUUCAGAAGGUGCAUUUUCCCUAGAGCUUCCUAGUUCAUUCAACAUGUGGGGCUCAGAGAGGGAUAGGCCACACAGCUUUAAAAAAUAAAGGAGGGGGCAGAUCCAGGAUGCUAACCCAGAUUUACUUUAUCUCGAAAGCAAGGUCUUUUAGCCACCAUCACACACACACACACACACACACACACACACACACACACACAAAUGCCCAGCUGUCCCAGGACAGCAAUGUUCUUUUGUUGAUGCUUGCUGCAAAUCUGGCCAUAGGAGCUCUCCUUUCUCUGCCCAGCCCAGAUCUGUAGCUUAGUCAAGAGAGUCACAAAGGGACUGAAGUCAGAUGAUUUUUUUUUUUUUUAAAAACAAUCCUGAGCUCUAGUUUUCUCUUCUAUCCUUGGAGAUAACAAUAUUAUUAUCUGGAACAGCUGUUGUAGGAGUUAAAGUAAUAGGCAUAGAACAUCCAUCCAUCCAACCAUCUAUCCAUCCAACCAUCCAACAAAUGUGUGUUGAACACUUGCUUUAUGGUGAGCACUGCGUACAGGUCGGGAUGAAGGGGCAUGAGGCCACCCUACAAAGUACAUAGACCUGGAAUACAGUGAGAAGCUGUCAGGUUAUAUUAUUAUAGUACCCCCCUGGGAGAAAUGUGGGGGGCCUUCUGUUCAUCCCUAGCCUUGGCUUGUGGCCUGGGGCCCUCCUUCCACAGCAGCUGACUAUCUGGUCCCUAUGCAAGACACAGUCUUGUUCUGGCUACAGGGUCAACCAAGUCUUAUAAUUGUGUUUCAACCUUGGAUGGAGCACCUAAGACAUGCCUAGCCCUUCAACUGUGCUAUCUCCUCUCACUGCACCACCCUCUGUGAGAUAGGUCCAUUUUCCAGGUGAGGAAAUAGAUUCAGAGAGGGGAAGUAACUUGCCCAAGGUCAUACAGCUGGUAUGGGAUGGAUCCCCAGGCUAUUUUGGGUUCCUUAGCCUCUGCUCCUUCCACUACAGCACAAACUUCUGUUUGGUGGUAGGUCGAAGAAAGAUCCCAGUGGACCAGUCAGGAGACCAGUCCUUGAUUCCUUGAGGCCAUCUGUCCUCAGCUAAUGACAAUAUUAAACAAUAUUUGUUGAGUCCUUAUCAUGUGCCUGGUGCCUAGGGCUUACACCCUUGGUCUCCUUUAGUCCUCUGUGAGGGCCUGUAAGACAUCCUAUCUCCACUUCAAAGAGAAGGCAACUGAGGCACAGAAAUGUUGAAUAAUUUGUCUAAAGUCACAGAACUAGAGCCUGGAUUCCAGAGGCCAAACACUAUGUGUGUUUGUGUGAUUUAAAUCUCUUAACAAAACGCACCUAAUUUUUAAAAAUCCAAAAUGUGCAAGAAAAGGUUGAAAAAAAAUUUAUUGAACCUCCCUCCUCAGAAACACAACUCUGUUACCAGUCUCUUCCUGUCUGUCUACUGGCUUUCUAUGCAAAUACAAACGUGUGUGUACAUAUACAUGCGAAUAUCCGUUCUGUUAUCAGAAAUGUAAAAUGCUACACACAGUGCUUCGGUUUGUUUUUUUCACUAAGUGUAACCUGGAGGUCCCUCCCUAUCUGCAAACAGAUCUACAUUUUUGCUCCUUCAACAAUGGGCUAGCAUUCCUUGCUAAAGAUGCAUCACGCUGUGUUUACCCAUCCUCUACGUUUGCUGCGUUACCUCCAGUAUGGAGUCACCCCAGCCACAGAGCCCAAGCUUUCACCUUUCAGUGACAUGUUCUUCCCUGGCCUUGCACCUAAGUUUCAUACAUCUAGCAAGAGACCAUUCUUUUCCGACGCCCCACGCCCCACGCUGUGUUGCUCGACUUGGCUUCCCUUUGGUGAAUUAUCCAGAGCUCAUCAGAGCGGCCUGCCCCGCCCUCCCCCGGGGUCCCAUCCCGCCUAGACCCUGAGCCAGCUCUGUGCUAGGCCCAGCAAGGCUCCGGUCGGCUUCCACUCGUCCCUGGUCCCUGGCAAAUGGGUUGGUAUUUCCAGCCCCGCCCUCUGUGGAAUUUUGGAAAGACCCUUGGGACACGUGCCCAGGAAAGCAGUCUCUCUUGGCCGAGGCGAAAGGAGCAAGCCCCUGCGGGGGGGGGGGGGGGGGGGGCUCCUACGGCCCCUCCCAGCCCUUCCCAGACCAAAUCUGCCAUGCCUCUGGGACGUUAGCGAAGCAAGCCACAUGCAUCCCCUGAGGUUCCUGCCAUUCUGGAGGAGGCCCUAGAGAGUCGUUGUGUUCCUCGGAAACACAUAAUGGGGCGUCCCAUGGCCUCCCAAACUUGACCAUGGUCCUGCCCUGUCCAGUCCUCCCCCCACCCGACCCUUGGUCCCACUCACCAUAGGGACUCUCCACUGGAGCCCCGAGGGGCGCGUUCACACUGACCAUGGCCGAGCCCACCCAGCCAAAGACGCGGGGGCAUGGAGGAGCCGGGCCCCACACACAGCGGCAGCAGGCCACCGGGAGCCAGUCCACCAGGAAGGCAGUGAGUACAGCCAGCUGCCACCGCCUGGUUAUCUUAUUGAUUCUUCUAAUCACCCAAGGUGGGUGGAUAUGUUAAAGAGUAACCAGUCACUUAGGGAACCUGCGGCUGAGGACUGUCACUGUUACCAUGGCAAUGGCAACCUGGCCAGAUCCGAGGUCCACUUGGGCCCCAGUCCUGCUCUCUGGGGUUGGGGGGCACCUGGAGCCAGAUGUAGGGGACAUCAGCCCCUCACCCCAACUUGAGGUAAGGGACUGGCCAGGAGGCGAUGAGGAGGUGAGAGUCCAACCUGGGUUGGGUUUUAUGGCUCCUCAUAAUGGGUGUGGCAUUGUGGCAGGAGGGAGGGGUAGCAGAGAAAGGAGGGGAGUGGAGGACUGUAUUAUUGAGCACCUACUGGAUGCUGGGAGUAGCACACAGGUAUUGCCACAUUUAAAUUAAGCCUCUGUGAGGAAACUUGAGCCACAGAGAGACGUGGCCUGCCUGUAAUCUCACAGCUGGUGACAGAGGAGUUGGGUCAGCAUUAUAAACCACAGUCUCCCCUUCAUCGAAUAUAUAUUUACUGAGCACCCACUGUAUACCAGGUCCUGUGCUAGACUCCAGGGAUACAGAAACAAGCAAAGCAGGCAUCAGCCCUGCACCCAUGGAACUUGUGGACGACUGGGGGAGAUGGGCAUUCAUCAGACGAUAGUAAAGAUUAUUCAAAGAUAUUAUGACACAGACCUGAUUACAAACCGGACGAGACUACCUCUGCACAGAGAAGAAGCCUUAAACCUGGACAUGCCCAAAUGCCUCACCCAAAUUCACCUGCACCUCCUUCACCCAGAUCCACCUGGUCUGCACCUGCCUCUUCCCCCUGCUCAGGAACCCCCCGUGAGCCCAUGGGGUUUCUCCUACAUAUUUGACCUCUCCCUCUUUAGACUUUUAAAAUCAACUUUCUGUUGAAAGUAUAAUUUACAUAUAAUCAAAUGCACUCUUUUUAGGUACACAGUUUCAUGAGCUUCGAUAAGUGUAUGAACCCAUACAGAACAUUUCCACGACCCCCCAAAACUUCUCUUUGUUCCCCUGCUGUUAAUCCUCCAGCACCUCCCCCUCCACGCAACACUGACCUGCUUUCUGUCACUCUACAUUAGAUUUGUCUUUUCUAGAAUAUCAUAGAAAUAGAAUCAGACAGCAUUUACUCUUUUGUGUCUGGCUUCCUUUGCUCAGAAUGUUGGUGAGGUUCACCCACAUUCAGGUCCCUUGGUACUACCUCCGUAUUCCACUGAAUAGAUACUCUGUAACUGGUUCACCCAGUCACAGGCAUUGAAGUUGUUGCCAGUCUGGGGCUAUUGUGAAUUACACAGCUACAUAUGGUCAUGAACAAGCCUUCCUGAAGGCAUAUGUUUUCAUUCCCUUGGUUAAAUUUCCAGGAAAGGAAUUGCUGGUUGAUCAGUUAGGUGUGUGUUUAAUUUAUAAGAAACUCUCAAACUCUCAAACUCACCGAAGUGAUCAGACUUUUGUAUGAAUACCAUUUUGUAGUCCUGCCAGUGGGGUAAGAGAGCUCCUGUUUGCUCUAUACCCUUAUCGCUGUUUAUUGUUGUCAGUCUUUUUAACUUUAACCAUGUGAGA